UAGGGAAUCUUCCGCAAUGGACGCAAGUCUGACGGAGCAACGCCGCGUGAGUGAAGAAGGAUUUCGGUUCGUAAAACUCUGUUGUUAGAGAAGAACAGCGCAUAGAGUAACUGUUAUGCGUGUGACGGUAUCUAACCAGAAAGCCACGGCUAACUACGUGCCAGCAGCCGCGGUAAUACGUAGGUGGCAAGCGUUGUCCGGAUUUAUUGGACGUAAAGCGAGCGCAGGCGGUCAAUUAAGUCUGAUGUGAAAGCCCCCGGCUCAACCGGGGAGGGUCAUUGGAAACUGGUUGACUUGAGUGCAGAAGAGGGGAGUGGAAUUCCAUGUGUAGCGGUGAAAUGCGUAGAUAUAUGGAGGAACACCAGUGGCGAAGGCGACUCUCUGGUCUGUAACUGACGCUGAAGCUCGAAAGCGUGGGUAGCAAACAGG
rnacentral:rRNA from 1 species